AUAGUUUAUAUAUUUAUAAAACUAACUGAUUGACAAAAACAAAAUACUGAAAGAAACAUGAUGUUCACAUCGCCCCCCCACGAAAACACCAAUAUAACAACACCUCGUUAACACGAAAAUAAAACCCUGUUUUAGAUCAUUAAUUAUGUUGUUAGCAAUCGUCUUAACCACCCUUUUUAGGUACCUUGUCGAUUGUGAUAUCUAAAGAUUAUCUUAA
rnacentral:misc_RNA from 1 species